GUCCACGCCCUAAACGAUGCGAACUGGAUGUUGGUCUCAACUCGGAGAUCAGUGUCGAAGCUAACGCGUUAAGUUCGCCGCCUGGGAGUACGGUCGCAAGACUGAAACUCAAAGGAAUUUACGGGGCCCGCACAAGCGGUGGAGUAUGUGGUUUAAUUCGAUGCAACGCGAAGAACCUUACCUGGCCUUGACAUGUCCGGAAUCCAGCAGAGAUGCAGGAGUGCCUUCGGGAAUCGGAACACAGGUGCUGCAUGGCUGUCGU
rnacentral:rRNA from 1 species